GACGAACGCUGGCGGCGUGCCUAAUACAUGCAAGUUGAGCGCUGAAGGUUGGUACUUGUACCAACUGGAUGAGCAGCGAACGGGUGAGUAACGCGUGGGGAAUCUGCCUUUGAGCGGGGGACAACAUUUGGAAACGAAUGCUAAUACCGCAUAAAAACUUUAAACACAAGUUUUAAGUUUGAAAGAUGCAAUUGCAUCACUCAAAGAUGAUCCCGCGUUGUAUUAGCUAGUUGGUGAGGUAAAGGCUCACCAAGGCGAUGAUACAUAGCCGACCUGAGAGGGUGAGCUGCCACAUUGGGACGGAGACACGACCCAAACUCCUACGGGUGGCAGAAGUAGGGGAUCUUCGGUAAUGGACGAAAGUCGGACCGAGCAACGCCGCGUGAGUGAAGAAGGUUUUCGGAUCGUAAGACUCUGUUGGUAGAGAAGAACGUUGGGGAGAGUGGAAAGCUCAGCAAGUGACGGUAACUACCCAGAAAGGGACGGCUAACUACGUG
rnacentral:rRNA from 1 species